CGUGAGUAACCUGCCUUGGAGUGGGGAAUAACACAGUGAAAACUGUGCUAAUACCGCAUAAUGCAUUUGGGUCGCAUGAUUCUGAAUGCCAAAGAUUUAUCGCUCUGAGAUGGACUCGCGUCUGAUUAGCUAGUUGGCGGGGUAACGGCCCACCAAGGCGACGAUCAGUAGCCGGACUGAGAGGUUGGCCGGCCGCAUUGGGACUGAGACACGGCCCAG
rnacentral:rRNA from 1 species